GCCCCUGUACCCGCGCGGGACUUCUAGCCCGAUAGCGGUAACGGAUGAUGCGAGUUCGAAUCUCGCCAGGGGCUCCA
rnacentral:tRNA from 2 species